UUUGUCCACCAUCACACUGUCAAACUGACAAGGAUAGGUUAACAUGCCUGACAGGUUCACUCUGGUCGCUCUCAGCUUUUAUUUCAUACUUCACAAUGUUUGUAGUUGGAGCGUGAGUGAACCUCUCAACCACACAUUGCAUGACGAUGGCUCAGUCAGUGUCACAUGCGUGUUUUAUGGAGAAGAAAGGUUUGAACUGGAAGCUAAGUUGAAAAUGAAUGAUACGGAGGUUUGUGAGGUUUAUGACAAAAGACAAGAACAUAACAAGUGUAAAUGGGAGCAUGAGGACAAUAAAUUCACAUUCACCUUAAUGAAACCUGAGGCCUUACACAGUAAUACAUUUUCCUGUGAGAUAUCCAAAAUAAAACCAUAUCCAGUCAAAACUGAAAAAGGACCUAAAAUUAAGCUUUUCCGAGGUUGCAGUAACCCUUUUGCUCCACUGAAGAACAGCUGUCCAAUCACUAACCAAACACAUAACCAGGAUCCCACACUUGUAGAGAGGCCUGCACUUGAAGACACGUAUACCCUACUAAUCUGUGGUCUGGUCAUAGUGGUGAUAAUGCUGUCUCUCUACAGCAUUAUUCUUACUACAGUCUACAUCAGAUUGAGGGUCACACAUUUGGAGUCUUCUGACACUCUGACCUACGUGCCAAUGCAGGUAAAGGCUUUCCUCUUUAUGUGUGCCAGUAAUGCAAUAUGUCUGUGGUUUCUGUUGAACCAGCACUUCAAACACAAGUUCUUUUACUGUUUCAGAGGAAUGUAAAACGACAUGAUCUAGAAAACACUGAAUAUGUGGACAUGCGUGAAGUGCAGAAACGGGAAGGAUCCCACAGAGAUAUGAACCACAACUCUCAUCUUGCUACUGGCAGAGCCCAUUUCUAAUGGCAUCAGUGAGCUCAUGCUUUAACUGCUCUAGGACUUACUGCUUAUUAUACUUCCGCUUCACUAAAGAAUAUAACAGGAUAAAACUAUUUCCUUUCUACCAAACAAAACAGACUUUCCUGAAUGCCUGAAUCUGCAUAUUGCUCCUGCACCUCAUUCAACAAAUAACACAGGCUUGAUGUUCUGUUGCAGAUGAUUUCAUCUGGUGGUUUGUACAACCUAAUGGUGAAUUGUAGCUAUGCCAAGCUAAAUGUAUAUAAAAUAUCUAGCUUGGACAUUUUUUUAUUAUUAUUUUGAUCCCAUGGACCAAUAAUCAAUUAUAAUAUCAGUUUUGUUCAGUGUAUAAUAAAU
rnacentral:lncRNA from 1 species